GCUCAACCGGGGAGGGUCAUUGGAAACUGGGGAACUUGAGUGCAGAAGAGGAGAGUGGAAUUCCACGUGUAGCGGUGAAAUGCGUAGAGAUGUGGAGGAACACCAGUGGCGAAGGCGACUCUCUGGUCUGUAACUGACGCUGAGGAGCGAAAGCGUGGGGAGCGAACAGGAUUAGAUACCCUGGUAGUCCACGCCGUAAACGAUGAGUGCUAAGUGUUAGGGGGUUUCCGCCCCUUAGUGCUGCAGCUAACGCAUUAAGCACUCCGCCUGGGGAGUACGGUCGCAAGACUGAAACUCAAAGGAAUUGACGGGGGCCCGCACAAGCGGUGGAGCAUGUGGUUUAAUUCGAAGCAACGCGAAGAACCUUACCAGGUCUUGACAUCCUCUGGCGAUCCUAGAGAUAGGACGUCCCCUUCGGGGGCAGAGUGACAGGUGGUGCAUGGUUGUCGUCAGCUCGUGUCGUGAGAUGUUGGGUUAAGUCCCGCAACGAGCGCAACCCUUGAUCUUAGUUGCCAGCAUUCAGUUGGGCACUCUAAGGUGACUGCCGGUGACAAACCGGAGGAAGGUGGGGAUGACGUCAAAUCAUCAUGCCCCUUAUGACCUGGGCUACACACGUGCUACAAUGGACAGAACAAAG
rnacentral:rRNA from 1 species